CCUCCAGCGUCGGGAUGUGAGCCACCAGCAAGGAGGGACACCAAUAAGGCGUCUGAUAAGAUAAUGAAAAUUAUCAUCACUAUUCCUUCUGCAAGUCCCCAGAUUGAAGGUUCAAGAGUAACACCCCAGAAGACUGUCUUUGCUGGCAAGGAAUUUAUUUGGAGCAGUUUCCACUUGAAACUUGAAGUAGCUGCUUCAAGAUGAGGCUGAUCCAGUAAGAACCCUUUGUAACAGCCAUUUCCUCCUGCUGUGUAUUUGCUGCCAUUGCGAGUCCUUUGGAGUAUUUUACCUGGAGUGCUGUUAAUGUUCUUCAAAAUAUGACCUGUCCAUCAGAUGUGGCUAAAUGAAACUAUCACAAAAACUAAAUCUACAGAUUCAACAAAUAUCAAGCAUCAGCUUGGAGAAUGCAAAGAAAGAACAGGAAGUGGAAUGGUAUUAUAUAUCCUCAAAGCCCGCCUUCAGUGAC
rnacentral:lncRNA from 1 species